rnacentral:rRNA from 1 species
UUGAACGCUGGCGGCAUGCUUUACACAUGCAAGUCGAACGGCAGCGGGGGCUUCGGCCUGCCGGCGAGUGGCGAACGGGUGAGUAAUGCAUCGGAACGUACCCAGUCGUGGGGGAUAACUACGCGAAAGCGUGGCUAAUACCGCAUACGCCCUGAGGGGGAAAGCGGGGGACCUUCGGGCCUCGCGCGAUUGGAGCGGCUGAUGUCGGAUUAGCUUGUUGGUGAGGUAAAGGCUCACCAAGGCGACGAUCCGUAGCUGGUCUGAGAGGACGACCAGCCACACUGGAACUGAGACACGGUCCAGACUCCUACGGGAGGCAGCAGUGGGGAAUUUUGGACAAUGGGGGAAACCCUGAUCCAGCCAUUCCGCGUGAGUGAAGAAGGCCUUCGGGUUGUAAAGCUCUUUCAGACGGAAAGAAAUCGGGCGCGUGAAUAGCGUGCCCGGAUGACGGUACUGUCAGAAGAAGCACCGGCUAACUACGU